rnacentral:rRNA from 1 species
UACGUAGGGUGCAAGCGUUAAUCGGAAUUACUGGGCGUAAAGCGUGCGCAGGCGGUUUUGUAAGUCUGACGUGAAAUCCCCGGGCUCAACCUUGGAAUUGCGUUGGAGACUGCAAGGCUGGAGUCUGGCAGAGGGGGGUAGAAUUCCACGUGUAGCAGUGAAAUGCGUAGAGAUGUGGAGGAACACCGAUGGCGAAGGCAGCCCCCUGGGUCAAGACUGACGCUCAUGCACGAAAGCGUGGGGAGCAAACAGG